CCGCUCAGAAACUCAAUGAAUUGACGGGGGCCCGCACAAGCGGUGGAGCAUGUGGUUUAAUUCGAUGCAACGCGAAGAACCUUACCUGGUCUUGACAUCCCGGAGACCCUUAGGAAACUAGGGGGUGCUUCCAUCUGGAAGAAUCUGGAGACAGGUGCUGCAUGGCUGUCGUCAGCUCGUGUCGUGAGAUGUUGGGUUAAGUCCCGCAACGAGCGCAACCCUUGCCUUUAGUUGCCAGCAGUUCGGCUGGGCACUCUAAAGGGACUGCCGGUGUUAAACCGGAGGAAGGUGGGGAUGACGUCAAGUCCUCAUGGCCUUUAUGACCAGGGCUACACACGUACUACAAUGGCCGAUACAAAGGGCAGCGACACUGCGAGGUGAAGCCAAUCCCGUAAAAUCGGUCUCAGUCCGGAUUGGAGUCUGCAACUCGACUCCAUGAAGUUGGAAUCGCUAGUAAUCGUGGAUCAGCAUGCCACGGUGAAUACGUUCCCGGGCCUU
rnacentral:rRNA from 1 species